rnacentral:rRNA from 7 species
AGAGUUUGAUCAUGGCUCAGAUUGAACGCUGGCGGCAGGCCUAACACAUGCAAGUCGAACGGUAACAGGAAGCAGCUUGCUGCUUUGCUGACGAGUGGCGGACGGGUGAGUAAUGUCUGGGAAACUGCCUGAUGGAGGGGGAUAACUACUGGAAACGGUAGCUAAUACCGCAUAACGUCGCAAGACCAAAGAGGGGGACCUUCGGGCCUCUUGCCAUCGGAUGUGCCCAGAUGGGAUUAGCUUGUUGGUGGGGUAACGGCUCACCAAGGCGACGAUCCCUAGCUGGUCUGAGAGGAUGACCAGCCACACUGGAACUGAGACACGGUCCAGACUCCUACGGGAGGCAGCAGUGGGGAAUAUUGCACAAUGGGCGCAAGCCUGAUGCAGCCAUGCCGCGUGUAUGAAGAAGGCCUUCGGGUUGUAAAGUACUUUCAGCGGGGAGGAAGGGAGUAAAGUUAAUACCUUUGCUCAUUGACGUUACCCGCAGAAGAAGCACCGGCUAACUCCGUGCCAGCAGCCGCGGUAAUACGGAGGGUGCAAGCGUUAAUCGGAAUUACUGGGCGUAAAGCGCACGCAGGCGGUUUGUUAAGUCAGAUGUGAAAUCCCCGGGCUCAACCUGGGAACUGCAUCUGAUACUGGCAAGCUUGAGUCUCGUAGAGGGGGGUAGAAUUCCAGGUGUAGCGGUGAAAUGCGUAGAGAUCUGGAGGAAUACCGGUGGCGAAGGCGGCCCCCUGGACGAAGACUGACGCUCAGGUGCGAAAGCGUGGGGAGCAAACAGGAUUAGAUACCCUGGUAGUCCACGCCGUAAACGAUGUCGACUUGGAGGUUGUGCCCUUGAGGCGUGGCUUCCGGAGCUAACGCGUUAAGUCGACCGCCUGGGGAGUACGGCCGCAAGGUUAAAACUCAAAUGAAUUGACGGGGGCCCGCACAAGCGGUGGAGCAUGUGGUUUAAUUCGAUGCAACGCGAAGAACCUUACCUGGUCUUGACAUCCACAGAACUUUCCAGAGAUGGAUUGGUGCCUUCGGGAACUGUGAGACAGGUGCUGCAUGGCUGUCGUCAGCUCGUGUUGUGAAAUGUUGGGUUAAGUCCCGCAACGAGCGCAACCCUUAUCCUUUGUUGCCAGCGGUCCGGCCGGGAACUCAAAGGAGACUGCCAGUGAUAAACUGGAGGAAGGUGGGGAUGACGUCAAGUCAUCAUGGCCCUUACGACCAGGGCUACACACGUGCUACAAUGGCGCAUACAAAGAGAAGCGACCUCGCGAGAGCAAGCGGACCUCAUAAAGUGCGUCGUAGUCCGGAUUGGAGUCUGCAACUCGACUCCAUGAAGUCGGAAUCGCUAGUAAUCGUGGAUCAGAAUGCCACGGUGAAUACGUUCCCGGGCCUUGUACACACCGCCCGUCACACCAUGGGAGUGGGUUGCAAAAGAAGUAGGUAGCUUAACCUUCGGGAGGGCGCUUACCACUUUGUGAUUCAUGACUGGGGUGAAGUCGUAACAAGGUAACCGUAGGGGAACCUGCGGUUGGAUCACCU